rnacentral:rRNA from 1 species
CUUUACCCUCCGCACGUUAUAGCAAUUGCGAAUUGCGAUUGCGGCGCACCACACGACCACAACAACCCCUCUUCCUCCUCCCUCUCUCUUCGCACUAACCAAUCCGAGUACAACUCGCCGUACUCGCACGCACACAUAGGCAGAUCCAAUCCGACUGUACAAAAGCGCCGCCGUCCGCCGCUCACGUGGAAGAGGGAGAGGGAGCAGCGGAGAGGAGAAGGACUUCCACGACUAUAUGCAACCUCCUGGAACAGUCUAGUUCCUAAAUCCUUCUUCCAUUCUGGCAGAUAUCAAGAGAUCAUUCAGGUCUCGCACCUCUGAGUGGGUGUGGAUUUGCAACAAUUCUGCGAUCAACUUAUCGCUGCCUCUUGGAGUAAUCCCAUCAUACAUCUGGAGAUUACGGCGAGCACUGGAGGGACUUUUUGUUGAUUACGGUUAAUUGAGGAAAGCAGCUGAGAUGUAACAAUUUUUUUGAGCUGAGCUCUCUUCCAAGACAGGCCUGUGAUUUAGCAAUGUGAUUGGAUCAACUCUGUUUUUGGAUCUGGUGUUAGCUCAGUUGACACUAGAGUUGACUUAUGGUUAGGUUUUUCUGUUUUUCAUCCUCUACUACACAACAGAAACCGAAGGAGGCCUUUCUGCUAGCAGAUAAGACCAUGCUUACUGUUUCAAAGAAAGAUUCUCAGGAACAAACAGUGAAGUUCACUACUGGAUCAGUGGGCCCGAAGCAGAUGGCGGAUGAAAAUAACCAUUCAGUUGCUAGUGGGCAGUAUGAUAUUAACUCAUCAUCUCACCAAGAAUGCUGGAGAUCUGAUGAAUGGAAUAGACAUGCAUGCUCUGAUGAUGACAAAGAGGAGAAAGUUGGGCACCUACAGAAGAGCCAGUCUCUUGGGAACAUGCUUCAAGAGGAUUGUGAUCAUCAUGGCAGUGAAGGUACUGAGUGUGACAUUACAGACCAUGAUUACAGAAGCCAUUGCUCUGGUUUCAAGAGCAAUACAGAUGUUGAAGAAUCCACUAGGUUAGGCAGCAAGAACAACGAGAAUGUUUUUGAUGCCUCAUCUGACCUGAUCAGUCAUGGUGUUUAUGAACCUUCAGUUGAUCAUGCCGCUGAUUCUGACAGGCAUCACUCUUAUGACCACAGCAAAUUUCCAAGGUCACAAUCUGCUAUAUUUCAGAAUAAUUCUGAUAGUGACCGAGAAGGUUCUGUUGAUUCUGAGAGACUAGGCCCCCGUUGCAGAUCUUUUGAGGAUUUAUGUUCAAUGGACGGUGAAAAGGUUGAUUACUUGAGUGGUGAUGAAACAAAUCGCUCGAAAUCAAAUUUGCCUGUGCUUUGUGCUGGACCUUCUUCGCCAGGUAUCUCUGAAUUAUUAGACUUGGAGAAUGGUUCAGGAGGUCGCUCUGAUGCUGCUGAAGAUGGCCAACGGUCCUCUGCAAGUGUAGAUGGGAAGUUUGUGAGGGAUGGGAUGAUAAGUCAUGACUACUGGGAUGGCAAAUAUAUUGCUGCUGAUAAUUCAGCUCAUCCAGUUGCCACUUGCUUUGGGGAUUCAGGGCAUUAUUGUGUCAUCAAUGGUGCUUUAAAUCAAGAGAGGGAAGAGAAAUUGUGGAACAGAAAUAGCGGUCUCGACCAGGAGUCACUUGGCAUUGACAUGCCUAAUUUGAAGAACCCGUCUGACUCGAAGGAUAUUAGUGAGGAAGCUGAACACAAUGAAACUGAAAUGAAUGGUGAUCAGCAUUUUGACGAGGACUCAAAUGAACUUAGUCCAAGAGCUUACAGCAUUAAAAGGAUCGAGGAUUGGAUCAGCCAAAUUGAUAUUGACAGUGACAUCAUUGUGGAGGAGCAGGGAGAAAGUUCAAGUUCUGCAUCAACAAAAUAUAGCGAGUCGGUGGUCAGUGUUUCUGCUGUGCGCCCUGAUGCUAAAAGUCCUCUUGGCAUGGAGAUAGCUUACACUUAUAUUUCAAAAUUGACUCCUGUUUCUUCAUCUGCACAAUUGCCAAACCUUGGUUUGGUUGCAAUCCCAAGACUGAGCGCGUUCUCAGGCCUACGGCUGUUGAACUUAUCAGGGAAUUCAAUAGUGCGCGUAACUGCAGGAGCUCUCCCGAAAGGUCUUCACAUGUUAAGCCUGUCGAAGAAUAAUAUCUCGAUUAUUGAAGGCCUUAGAGAACUAACACGCUUACGCUUGCUGGACAUAAGCUAUAAUAGGAUCUCUAGAAUUGGCCAUGGUUUGGCUUCAUGUUCUUCUUUGAAGGAGUUAUAUCUGGCUGGUAACAAGAUCAGUGAGGUAGAUGGCCUUCACCGCCUUCUGAAGCUAAAAGUUCUGGACUUGCGCCACAACAAGAUUUCUACAUCCAAGGGCCUUGGUCAACUGGCUGCGAACUACAAUUCCCUCGAAGCCAUCAACCUAGAUGGCAACCCGGCACAGAAGAACGUAGGUGACCAGCACCUGAAGAAGUACCUGUUAGGCCUCUUGCCAAACCUUGCUGUGUACAACAAGCAGCCUGUAAGAGCAACUGGCUCAAAAGAGGUCUCGGACCGUCACACACGCAAGAUCUCUUCUUCCCAUCGUUCUGACCGCAGUUCCAGAUCGGACCGCAAAUCUUCCAGGUUGGUGGCUGGCACAUCUUCACGGCAUGCCCGUCCUGCACAUGCUUCAGGCCCUUUGGUGAAGCAGUCGAGGUCCCGGAACAUGCCAAUGGCAGCGCUGGGCUCUAGACCAGUGGAAUAUGCGGGUGCUGGAGUUCCAGCGAAGCAAAUUCAGAUGGAGGAAAAUUCGCAGUGACAUCAUCCAAGCAGAGCUGCCUAGCCAGCCAAGGCUUUUGGACAAGGAUGUUGCAAGUUUUCCUGUUAAGUUUGUAAAAUAAUUAAGCUCAAACAGUAUGGUGAAGAGCACUUUUCUUAUACUGCUAAAGACAUGUAUUUUUUUUUGUCAUAGUACUACGUGGCAGUGUUUUUGAAUAAGAGUACACAGGAAUGUUGUAAGACAAAACACAAAUACCUCUGUGAAUUGAAUUGGUACCGCCAGUCAGAUGUUUUUGUC